UACGGAGGGUGCGAGCGUUGUUCGGAAUUACUGGGCGUAAAGGGCGCGCAGGCGGCUUGAUAAGUCAGAUGUGAAAGCCCACGGCUCAACCGUGGAAGUGCAUCUGAAACUGUCUGGCUUGAGUACUGGAGAGGAAAGUGGAAUUCCUGGUGUAGAGGUGAAAUUCGUAGAUAUCAGGAGGAACACCGGUGGCGAAGGCGACUUUCUGGACAGAUACUGACGCUGAGGCGCGAAAGCGUGGGGAGCAAACAGGAUUAGAAACCCUAGUAGUCC
rnacentral:rRNA from 1 species